ensembl:miRNA
GAAAUGCCUCCAUGAGGUCCAGCUGUAAGGCAUUUUCUCAAUUAGUGACCAAUGGAGGGAGGGCCGUGGUGGGUGGUGCCAUCCCUGGGCUGCUGGUCCUG